rnacentral:rRNA from 1 species
AACGAACGCUGGCGGCAUGCCUAACACAUGCAAGUCGAACGAGACCUUCGGGUCUAGUGGCGCACGGGUGCGUAACGCGUGGGAACCUGCCCUUAGGUUCGGAAUAACUCCCCGAAAGGGGUGCUAAUACCGGAUAAUGUCUUCGGACCAAAGAUUUAUCGCCUUUGGAUGGGCCCGCGUUGGAUUAGCUAGUUGGUAGGGUAAAAGCCUACCAAGGCGACGAUCCAUAGCUGGUCUGAGAGGAUGAUCAGCCACACUGGGACUGAGACACGGCCCAGACUCCUACGGGAGGCAGCAGUGGGGAAUAUUGGACAAUGGGCGAAAGCCUGAUCCAGCACUGCCGCGUGAGUGAUGAAGGCCUUAGGGUUGUAAAGCUCUUCUACCCGGGAUGAUAAUGACAGUACCGGGAGAAUAAGCCCCGGCUAACUCCGUG